CCCGCAACGAGCGCAACCCUUGUCAUUAGUUGCCAUCAUUUAGUUGGGCACUCUAAUGAGACUGCCGGUGACAAACCGGAGGAAGGUGGGGAUGACGUCAAGUCCUCAUGGCCCUUAUGAGCAGGGCUUCACACGUCAUACAAUGGUCGGUACAGAGGGUUGCCAAGCCGCGAGGUGGAGCUAAUCUCAGAAAACCGAUCGUAGUCCGGAUCGCACUCUGCAACUCGAGUGCGUGAAGUCGGAAUCGCUAGUAAUCG
rnacentral:rRNA from 1 species